GUGCUCGCUUCGGCAGCACUUACACUAAAAUUGGAAUGAUACAGAGAUUAGCGUGGCCCCUGAGCAAGGAUGACAUGCAAAUUGGUGAAGCAUUCCAUAUCUUU
rnacentral:snRNA from 1 species